AUAUAAUUGGUGACUCAUAAUAACUUUACGGAUCACAAUUAAUGUGACAUAUCAUUCAAGUUUCUGACCUAUCAGCUUUAGACGGUAGGGUAUUGGCCUACCGUGGCAAUGACGAGUAACGGGGAACUAGGGUUCGAUUCCGGAGAGGGAGCCUGAGAAACGGCUACCACAUCUAAGGAGGGCAGCAGGCGCGCAAAUUACCCAAUCCUAAUACAGGGAGGUAGUGACAAGAAAUAACAAUACAGGACUUUUUGGUUUUGUAAUUGCAAUGAGUUAAGUAUAAACCCCUUUACAAGUAUCAAUUGGAGGGCAAGUCUGGUGCCAGCAGCCGGGGUAAUUCCAGCUCCAAUAGCGUAUAUUAAAGUUGUUGCAGUUAAAAAGCUCGUAGUUGGAUUUCUGUUAAUAAUUUAUAUAAAAUAUUUUGAUGAAUGUUUAUAUAAUAUUAACAUAAUUCAUAUUACUAUUUUUUUUUUAGUAUAUGAAAUUUUACUUUGAAAAAAUUAGAGUGCUUAAAGCAGGCAUAUGCCUUGAAUACUCCAGCAUGGAAUAAUAUUAAAGAUUUUUAUCUUUUUUAUUGGUUCUAAGAUAAGAAUAAUGAUUAAUAGGGACAGUUGGGGGCAUUUGUAUUUAACAGUCAGAGGUGAAAUUCUUAGAUUUGUUAAAGACAAACUAAUGCGAAAGCAUUUGCCAAGGAUGUUUUCAUUAAUCAAGAACGAAAGUUAGGGGAUCGAAGACGAUCAGAUACCGUCGUAGUCUUAACCAUAAACUAUGCCAACUAG
rnacentral:rRNA from 1 species